rnacentral:rRNA from 1 species
UACAGAGGGUGCAAGCGUUAAUCGGAAUUACUGGGCGUAAAGCGAGCGUAGGUGGCUUAAUAAGUUAGAUGUGAAAUCCCCGGGCUUAACCUGGGAACUGCAUCUAAAACUGUUUCGCUAGAGUAGGUGAGAGGGAGGUAGAAUUUCAGGUGUAGCGGUGAAAUGCGUAGAGAUCUGAAGGAAUACCGAUGGCGAAGGCAGCCUCCUGGCAUCAUACUGACACUGAGGUUCGAAAGCGUGGGUAGCAAAC